rnacentral:tRNA from 1 species
GGGGCUAUAGCUCAGCUGGGAGAGCGCUGCCGUGGCACGGCAGAGGUCGCCGGUUCGAUCCCGGCUAGCUCCA